GACAUUUGGUAGAGACUGUUGAAGCCACCUGGUCCCAGCAGACCCCAGAGAACAGCCACAUUCGCUGGUGCUGGAACAAGGCCAUUAACGGUGAAGCCUGGUGCCAGAUGUGU
ensembl:rRNA 5S_rRNA 5S ribosomal RNA